UAGAAGAAUACAAAUGUUUAUUACAUUUGAAUAUAUUAGAUUUGUUUUUAAACACCUCAAGUGUAGGAGUAUUUUGGUUUGAGCUUUUAUGGGGAAUAUUAUCAUUUCAAUACUAACGUCAUGGAGUAAUAUAUACUAUGGUAUUAAAUACAAACAUUAAAGAGGAAUUGAUACAAAUUUAAUUUUUUUAAAGUUCAAUUUCCUGAAUAAAACACACAAAAACGCAUGAAGAUAUUAUAAUUAAUUGGUAUGAAGAAAUACAUUAAAAAUCAAUACUGUGGUAUCAUAACACAAUUACUAAUUAAAAUAAUAAAAAUGUUCUAAAUUUAAUUUUGAAAAGACACAAAGGCACACAUUGACAAAUGCAGAAAUAUUUUGUUUGUAAAUUUAUGGAAGGUGAAUAUCUGAGAUUUUUAAUUUUACAAAAGUUUCAAUUUAUCUAGCUCUGGUUUCACAUGACCCAAUGGUAUCACAGUAGAGUAACAUAAAAUAUAUUCGAAAUAGGAUAGGGAUUGUUUAAAUUGUAAAGAUUUUAAUUUGUAUAUCUAAAUACAACUAAUAACAAUUAAACCUUAAAUAAAAUAUUAAUAUUAAUGAUGAAAAUCUCCGAAAAGGAAUGUCGAUCUGGUCAGCUGUUAUACGAUACAGACAUUCGCCUAGAUGGUCUUUACUUUGAACACUGCUCACUUCUUGCAGUCCUGAAGGAGCUCUGGUCUAAGACGUGAACAUUUUUUAUUCUGAACGAACGUCCGAAACUAAACAAAACAUAGAGCUAGUAAAAUGUCACAUUUACAUUAUUAGGGGUAGUAUUAUUAUUAUUGGUAGUAUUCAAGAAUCAAAUUCAAACCAUAUCACUAUCCUUUGAAUUGCUCUAUUAGUUACCGUUCAAACUAAUCCAUCAUCGUUACAACUGUCAUGUUAGAUCUGGAAUGAACAUUUCUUAACAAAAAAUAAUAUUUCUUACCUGGGGUCGGAAAAUAUUCGUUAUUUUUUAAAAGAAAAGACAAUGGUAGGUAAAUAUGUACUUUUUAAAAUUGUAACUGAUUUUACAUUUUAUUUUUCCUUAAUUGCAUGUCCUGAUAAUUUCAUGCAAAAUUUUUAUUUCUAAAAAGUUUUAAGACAUCAGUGUGACGGUGUGACCGAACCAUAACUACUGUAAGGAGAGGAUAAUUACGUCCUACCAACUAUAACAUCGUCCUAGUUAUACACGACUCUUUGAAGUUAUAACUUGAAAUCCAAAUUCUCUGUAUUAUAAGAAAUACACUUACACUAAUAAUUGUCUUAAAAUUAUGUACAUACAAAAUCCAAAAAAUGGGAUAUGGGUGAAAAAACAUGUUUAAACUUAAUACCAGACAGACGGACAUACC